rnacentral:rRNA from 1 species
AUGACAAGGAGUCGUGCCAAACAAAUAGAAACUGAGGUGAACACGAUCCUAGCUGAUCAUAAUUCAACUAUCCAUGAGAACUUUAUACUGCCUAAAUCUUGUGUGCUGAUUUUACUCAGGUACAAUAUUGAGGACAACCAACAACUUUCAGCACAUGAAGAAACAAGUUCAGCUCAUGAAGAAGCAAGUUCUAAAGCCCAUACAACAAGUUUGAAGAGAACAAGUUUUAGCUCUGAUGUAAACCAUGCUUUGGUGACAAGGGCAACUAGUUACACCUCAAGGAAGAAUAGCAAGACAUCUCAACACAUUAUUGUUGCAUGCACAGUUCUAGAAUUUGUCCCAGAACUUGUUGCAUCAUGCAACACAAAUAUAUGA